rnacentral:misc_RNA from 1 species
AAGAAAGCAUUGAAUUGGGAGAACCUGCUGCACGUGAUCCCGCUGGAGGUCAGAUGUCUGGUGAGCAACCUGUGAUGAAGACAGCAAAGAAAAUUUAUGACAAGAAAUUCAAUGAGCUCUCGGGAAAUGACAUAUUCAAGGGCGAUGUUACUCCAUCAUCUGCUGAGAAACCUCUAAGUUUGGCAAAAUUGCAAGAGAUUAGCGGUAAUGACAUAUUUGCUGAUGGGAAGGUAGAGCAUCGAGACUACUUAGGUGGUGUACGCAAACCCCCGGGCGGCGAGAGCAGCAUUGCCUUGGUUUAACUUGUUAGGUCUAACUCUGUUAUCUCCCAUCACUGUGUCUGGUUUUAUUUUAUUGCUAGAGUGGGGAUGUGGUAUUAUAUUAUUUGACCUUAUAUUGCGGGUUUUGGGAUUAUGUUUAGGCCUUAACAUG